CGCGUCCCCUCCCUCCCUCCCUCUCUCUCUCUCUCUCUCUCUGCCUGCCUAUAUAUAUAAAUACGUAUCCGCCUCCAUUGCCGUCACUCCUCGCGGCCUUCGCAGCUCCUCCCGCGCGACGUGUCGCCGAGUGCGGUGCGGUAGGGCGGCGACUGAGUGACACAGCAAGAGAGAGAGAGAGAGAGAGAGAGAGAGAAUGGAGGGAAGGAAGCAAGGCGGAUCGCCUCGUCCCUCUGCCGCCGCCUCCUCUUCCUCUCCCUCGUCUUCGCCGCCGCCGCCGCCAUCGCUUGCUUCGGAGCUGUUCGGCUCGAAGGAGACGUAUCCGCCUUCGUCCUCCGCGGGCAUAUUCGCCUCCAUCUUCGCGCCUCCCUCUAAGGUUCUUGGGAAGGAAUCCGUGCGCUACGAGAGCGAAAGGAAGCAGGAUUUCCAGAACGAGCUGUGGUGGAGCAAAUCCGGAACUCCAGAUGAUACAUCACAUGUUGGUGGAGGAGGUCACAGCAUGCUGAACAGAGAUAUGGGUACCAUUUAUCAAGAGCAGAGAGUACAGCCGUGCCACCUCAGUUCAUCUAUAUAUUAUGGUGGCCAAGAGAACUAUUGCCACCCUUCAAGUACUCAAGGAUCUGGAUUAAAUCCUGUGGUCAAGAAAGAUGCUGGAGAAGAUGACGGAAGUGCUUCUAGGGGAAAUUGGUGGCAAGGAUCUUUAUAUUACUGAGAGCUUACUUGUCAGGCGGAUCGUCGACAUGUAUUAAAGGGCUGCAUUACUAUAAAAGAACUCCAUAUUGCAAAUUAAUCGAGGUACAUAGCAAUACUAUAUUAGCAGUAUAGUCUUACUUGGUUCUCAUGGAUAUGGAGAUAAUGGUCAGGUUCUUGGUGUUUGUUCAGCCUCUCCAUGAAGUGGUCGUCUGAUACUACAGUUAGCGACUUCCAUAUCCCUUUUCUUGAGUAUGGAUUGCUUUCCUUUACUGUAAAAGAUGUUUGGAUGGCGACUUCUUUCACCACAACCUAUUAUUGUGGACUGAAGUUGCCUUAUAAUCUAGUGGGUGUUAUGUAUAAACUUCCAACGUUUCCUAGCUUAAUUUUCUAUUCACCAGCUGUAAAUGACCGCAUUAUACUAUAGCUUCGUCUCAUACUGUGAAUAUCUAUUGCAGUAGACGUUCUGAGA